rnacentral:misc_RNA from 1 species
GAAAGGAGAUAAGUAAUGUGAAUUGCAGAAUUCAGUGAAUCAUCGAAUCUUUGAACGCACAUUGCGCCCCCUGGUAUUCCGGGGGGCAUGCCUGUUCGAGCGUCAUUUCACCACUCAAGCCUCGCUUGGUAUUGGGCAACGCGGUCCGCCGCGUGCCUCAAAUCGACCGGCUGGGUCUUCUGUCCCCUAAGCGUUGUGGAAACUAUUCGCUAAAGGGUGUUCGGGAGGCUACGCCGUAAAACAACCCCAUUUCUAAGGUUGACCUCGGAUCAGGUAGGGAUACCCGCUGAACUUAAGC